UUGGAAAUAUUUUGAUAAAUAAGUGCAACUUAAAUCAAAAGAAGCAGACGAAAGAAUUCUUAAAACUAAAUCUAGAGGAAAAUUCCAAGACCCAUUAACGAAGAAGUGGGAUACAUUCGCUCAAGUCGUGGGAACUCCAAAUUUACGAAGAUAUCAUUUACAAUUUCCUUCUGGAAGAUGCUUCUGGAGAAACAAAAAAAUAUGAGGACCAUUUCGAAAGAAAUGGUACAAUUGGACGAUGAUGAUAAUUUAGGAGGGUGGUAUUGUAAAUGCGCCACAUCACCCAGCCAAUCUGAGGCGACAGGUACGCUGUACCAAGUUUGACAAGGUGAAACCGUCCCAAACUAUCUUGUAUUGGUACAGAGUGGUCCAUUUACAAUAGGAAGCCGCUUCACAUUCCCUAAAGACGAUGGACGAAACGUGUCAACAUGACUAUUUUAACAGACUCUUAAUUAAUGGUGAAAAUAUGAGAAGAAGUAGGCUAAGAGAGUACAAACUGCCAAAGGAACGACUAAAGGAUUGGAAAAAUGCAGGUCACUUGAUGAAGGUAGAUGACGAUAGUCAGGAGCAUAAUGCUAGCAUGACAAUAUGGAAGGACUUGGAAGUCUGUCUUUUAGAAGGGCUCACAAUUGACAAACAAAAGAAAACUUGCAGAAGUGGAGAAAAGAAGGUGGCGGGAUGUUUCUACGUCGAUAAUUCAGUCGUUAGCGGUCAGAAAUACGGCUUUUAGGAGUUCCACAUACACAUUUAACAGUCCAGACAAGGAGAAUUUUCUGAAAGAAAUUGAACUAUUGGCUAAAUUCGACCCUGUAAUGGUAAAAAGUGGAGCUGCCUGUGAGCGAUCAAGAACAAAAAUUGCGAUCCGAUCAAAAAUUCACUGCAAUAUGACAAUCAGGACCAUUUGCGAUCAGCGAUCCGAUCAAUUUAAUUGCACUCAAAUUCAAAUAUACAAUUUCUUUAAGCCUAUAUAUACCUUAUAAACUUAAAUUAUCGAUUUAUACACCUUUUUUGAAUGUAUUUAUAUACAACAUUUUAUU
rnacentral:lncRNA from 1 species